CCGGAUCUAUAUUCUUUAAAUGAAUAUUGUUUCCUUGAUUUGGGGUUUGAAAGUUUUAAACUUUCCCUCGAAAAUGAUUUUAUUAAACAGUUGGGUUUCUGUAUACGGUUUUUUAUUUAUUUGAUCGUGCGUAAAUAUUUCGUCUUUAUCUGUUUCUAGGCAUUGGUUUUAUUCAGUUGGGGAGAUUUUUUUAUUUGUAUAAUAAUAUGAGUAUAACUGAAUAAUGAGUUUUGUUGAGUUGAUUUAACGUAUUGGCUACUGCUUGGAAAUUGUCUUUUAGUUUCUAAGAAUUUUUUUCUCUUUGAUUAGUCUUAUUAUUUAAUUAUUAAUUGAUGUUUUGUUGCACUAUAUUACUUCUUUUUUUUAUCGUUAUUGAAUAAACUAUUGCUAUCUCAGAUAAGAAAGCUGACUACGAUGUUGAGGUCAGCGGGGUUGAGAUAUCUCCUGAUCCUAUUGAAGAGGCCAACCUGCUACAUUCAGCAUUGCUGCAACUACAGGUUGAGUCCGUGUAGUUUUGAUAUGUCAUUGGUGACUGUGUGAAGUAAUACUAGUAUUGGUGAUAAGCUUUGUAAAAGGCUAUGUAAAGGAAAAAGGGUCGUGUGCAUAUAAAUAUGAUGUAGCUGAAAGAUGUGGAGCAUUGGUUUAUCUUAACAAAUUCACUGAAAGAUGUGGAGCAUAUGUUAUUGUCAAGCAAGAGAUGAUGCAACCUAGUGCCAACAUCAAAGACAGGUAAAUUCCUUUCUAUAUAUUUAUCUUGUUUUUUCUAGUUUGCAUAUUGUCAUAAAUUUUUGUAUGAAGAAUCUCAACUUUGUAGGUUCGGAAAUGGAUGAUGAAUCCAUUGUUCAUCUUGUUUAUCAUGCUUACAAUCUCAUAAAACUUUGUAUGUAUAUCAUCAACCAAAGAUUAGAAGCAAUGGAAGCAGGAGAGUCUACAAACAAUGACUUGUUGGACAUACAUUGUUGAAUUUUAAAAAAGUAGUGAUGGAGGAAUGAGUUUAAGGGAAGUAGUUGAUGAAGUGAAGCUCUUUUACUUCGCAACAUAGAAAGCAAAUGCAGAGUGUCUCAUGUUAAACUUUUAUCUGAGUUAGGGAUUUUGUUUAGGUUAUCAACAUUAGUCUAUAAGUUUUUAAUUGGUCUUGUAGUUUUCGACCAGGUCAAUCUUGUAAUGUUAUCUAAACAUUAUGUACUUUUUUAUAUUUAC